rnacentral:rRNA from 1 species
CCUACGGGUGGCUGCAGUGGGGAAUAUUGGACAAUGGGCGAAAGCCUGAUCCAGCCAUGCCGCGUGUGUGAAGAAGGCCUUCGGGUUGUAAAGCACUUUCAGUGGGGAAGAAAGCCUUGGGGCUAAUACCCUCGAGGAAGGACAUCACCCACAGAAGAAGCACCGGCUAACUCCGUGCCAGCAGCCGCGGUAAUACGGAGGGUGCGAGCGUUAAUCGGAAUUACUGGGCGUAAAGCGCGCGUAGGCGGUCUGAUAAGCCGGUUGUGAAAGCCCCGGGCUCAACCUGGGAACGGCAUCCGGAACUGUCAGGCUAGAGUGCAGGAGAGGAAGGUAGAAUUCCCGGUGUAGCGGUGAAAUGCGUAGAGAUCGGGAGGAAUACCAGUGGCGAAGGCGGCCUUCUGGACUGACACUGACGCUGAGGUGCGAAAGCGUGGGUAGCAAUCAGGAUUAGAUACCCGAGUAGUC